CCGCUAGCUUGCGAUUGGCUAGAACUUGGUCACGUGACCGGACCUAACUGCGGGGGCUGCUGGGAGCUGUAGUCAAGUUGUCCAGGAAGAAGGGGACGUCCAGGAGGUGUCACCAUUGACAUGCCUUUCCCCAGUGCGAACUUUUUCUGAGACCAUUGUAGGUAUCCUGGCCUUGCUGCAGGAAAAUGGACAGAAGAUUCACGAAGCUCUUCUGAAACCUGGGAGAGGAACAGCAUUCCACAGCUGGCUGGCUGCAGUUUUCACAGUCCUUCUGAGGAGCGGAGAGAGGAAGUUGUGCACAUGGUAAAGGGCACGAGUGAACGUCAAAGCCGUCAAUGGGCAUGAGUCAGUGAAAAAUCCCUCUCGGUUGCCACAGAGAGACCUGGGAUGGAAAGAAUUCACACUUCCAAGCUGAGAUGCAGGUUUCGGUACUGACUUGACCAACCCUGGAGCCAGCUGCAGAUGACUCCGGAAGCACUCGUGAGUUGACUUUCUGCUGCAGCCUGUCCCCACACGCCCUCAGAACUUGAACUCUGUCCUGGAAAAGUAG
rnacentral:lncRNA from 1 species